AUGAUUGCUGCAUUCCUAACUCUGAAAACAUAUGUUGCCACUUGUUUCUGCAGGCCUGUGAAGAACUACAACGACAUUAAUCGCCACUUUGCGGCGGGGGUGUGCGGGGCGGCGGAAGUGCUUGUCGGCCUUGGCCGGCUGCGUGGAGGUGAUGGGCUGUGUUGCUACAGGCGAAAGCCUUGCGGGUGCUUGCUAGCCGGCAACAGCGACGCCUGCGGGUGUCGCUAUCCACUUGAGGGCGUCGUCGUGUUCAUGUGCUUCAUCUACUUCCGGAUCGAGCUCUUCGGGCGAAAGCGGGCAAGGACAUCGUCUCUGUGGCGUUUCUUCCUUGGGGGCGUUGCUUUGAAGGCCGGUGAUCCUCCUCCUUCCCUUGGGCUGGAUGUACUCUGA
rnacentral:rRNA from 1 species